GAGUAGGGAUAACGCGUUAAGUACCGGACGGAUGGGAGGUUGCCGCCGGGCGAAGGAGCUUCGGUUCCGCGAUGUUAUUCCGCGUCCGCUA
rnacentral:ncRNA from 1 species